CAGGAAAUGUAAUCGAAGUCUAUGGUCGUCUCCUGGCCUCAAAAUAUGAAACUUAUGAUUUCAAUGUGGAUUUUAUUGAUGGGCCUGUGAUCCUCAAAGCAGAUGGAUGGAUUACCCUUUGCUCACUCGCAGACAGACAGAGGCGCAGCGUAUACUCCAUUCAAAGCAAUCACGGCAUGGGAACGGUUGGCUGCCGAGUGGAAGGCAACUAUAUUGG